GGAAACUGGGUCUAAUACCGGAUAGGACCAUGCUUUAGUGUGUGUGGUGGAAAGUUUUUUCGGUGUAGGAUGAGCCCGCGGCCUAUCAGCUUGUUGGUGGGGUAAUGGCCUACCAAGGCGGCGACGGGUAGCCGGACUGAGAGGUUGGUCGGCCACAUUGGGACUGAGAUACGGCCCAG
rnacentral:rRNA from 1 species